rnacentral:rRNA from 1 species
CCUACGGGGGGCAGCAGUGGGGGAUAUUGCACAAUGGGGGGAACCCUGAUGCAGCGACGCCGCGUGUGGGAAGACGGUCCUCUGGAUUGUAAACCACUGUCCCCAGGGACGCAAAUGACGGUACCUGGGGAGGAAGCUCCGGCGAACUACGUGCCAGCCGCCGCGGUCAUACGUAGGGAGCGAGCGUUGUCCGGAAUUACUGGGUGUAAAGGGAGCGUAGGCUGGGAUGCAAGUUGGGUGUCAAAACUACCGGCUAAACUGGUAGUCGCACUCAAAACUGCAGCUCUUGAGUGAAGUAGAGGCAGGCGGAAUUCCUGGUGUAGCGGGGAAAUGCGUAGAUAUUAGGAGGAACACCAGGGGCGAAGGCGGCCUGCUGGGCUUUUACUGACGCUGAGGCUCGAAAGUGUGGGGAGCAAACAGGAUUAGAUACCCGUGUAGUC